AGUGAACGCUGGCGGUAGGCCUAACACAUGCAAGUCGAACGGCAGCACAGUAAGAGCUUGCUCUUACGGGUGGCGAGUGGCGGACGGGUGAGGAAUACAUCGGAAUCUACUUUUUCGUGGGGGAUAACGUAGGGAAACUUACGCUAAUGCCGCAUACGACCUACGGGUGAAAGCAGGGGAUCUUCGGACCUUGCGCGAUUGAAUGAGCCGAUGUCGGAUUAGCUAGUUGGCGGGGUAAAGGCCCACCAAGGCGACGAUCCGUAGCUGGUCUGAGAGGAUGAUCAGCCACACUGGAACUGAGAUACGGUCCAGACUCCUACGGGAGGCAGCAGUGGGGAAUAUUGGACAAUGGGCGCAAGCCUGAUCCAGCCAUACCGCGUGGGUGAAGAAGGCCUUCGGGUUGUAAAGCCCUUUUGUUGGGAAAGAAAAGCAGCAGGUUAAUACCCCGCUGUUCUGACGGUACCCAAAGAAUAAGCACCGGCUAACUUCGUG
rnacentral:rRNA from 1 species